AGUUACUUAACUUUCAUUAUGGCUGACACAUGAUGACUCUAUUGGUCGAUAAUAACAAGGGAGCGCAUAAUUAAUUAUUCUUGGCUCUGGCUUUAUUUCAAAAGAUUGCAAAAACGCUCAAGCUUUGUGGAUAGAGGCUAAAAAUUAUUUUUUCUUCUUCUUCAUUCACAUUAUCAUAUAAGAAAAACUGUUGAAGUACUUUUUCAGGUAGGUAACCAAUAAAUAAUUUUUGAUUCAUGUUGAUUGUUGACACAGCUUGUAAAACUCAUAGUAUUUAAUCAAAGUAUCAAACUAUGCGUUACAUAUCAAUAUCAUUCUCUCCAAAUUUUUCCUUAAACUAGCAAAACAAAAACCUUAGACGAGAGUCCCACCAGUGACGUACUCAGUGAAGGCCAACGCAACGAGACCAAUCAUAGCGAACCGACCGUUCCAUAGCUCGGCGUCUGAAGUCAUGAACCCUUUUGACUUUGACUCUGCCCUUAUUCCCUUGAACAACGGAACCAUCGAUGCCAACGUCAGCAACGCCGUUGUGCCUAGAAACCACCCAACGCCACCGUUGGAGAUCUGAGCAAACACGUUUUCUCCCUUUGACAACUCCACGGCGAUGGCCGCCACGAAUCCAACCAUUGCUAGUCUCCCGUUGAUCCUCUCAGGUGCUGGACCGCUAAACGCUAGUAAAUCUCCAAACUUCGUACUCACCUAAACAAUAAACAAAUUAUUCAAUUCACAAAUCUAGUUUUUAUCAACAACAACAUGACUUUGAUCAUUAGAUCAUAUAUACCUUAGGCUUGCUAACUGGUGGAGGAGGAGACGGUGGCAUUUGCGGCGGAGUAGCCGAAGUCGAGGUCGAGGGCACAGAAGGAUCUUCCUUGAUAGGAUCGCCCUAAAAAAUUAGUCAACGUAAGGAACGGUCAGGAUUAAAAGUCAAAUAAGUAACGUAUGGAAGUGGAAGGACUAUGAGGUAGUAUAUAUAUAUAUAUACCUGAG
rnacentral:lncRNA from 1 species